GUUUCCGUAGUUCAAUGGAUAGAAUUGUUGAUUCCGGUUCAACAGAUAUGGGUUCGAAUCCCUUCGGGAACA
rnacentral:tRNA from 4 species